GACGUAGGGCGCGAGCGUUGUCCGGAUUUAUUGGGCGUAAAGAGCUCGUAGGCGGCUUGUCGCGUCGUCCGUGAAAACUUGGGGCUCAACCCCAAGCUUGCGGUCGAUACGGGCAGGCUGGAGUUCGGUAGGGGAGACUGGAAUUCCUGGUGUAGCGGUGAAAUGCGCAGAUAUCAGGAGGAACACCGGUGGCGAAGGCGGGUCU
rnacentral:rRNA from 1 species